AGUUCAUUAAACAUACAAGACAUAGUUUUUAAUAGUAAACAGAUGAAACAGAUGAAAGGAGGCAAAAAUUCAACCAUGCCACUAGAAGUGGCGUUUAACAAAAAUACAUAUUACUCUGCUUUUGUACUUUGUAAGGAUAAGCAAUAGAUAUUCUCUGUCAAGGUAUCUUAACAACUGCCUGAAAUUCUUAGGUUUUUCUUCUUAACUGACUCUAUAGUGUUGUAUACUUGUGAGCAGGUUUUGUGCUAACCUAUUAAAACUAUGGAGAAUAGAGUAAUAGGUAACCUAUCAUUAACACUCAGGGGCGUACCUAGAGAAUUUGGCACCCGGGGCAAGUCCUCGUUAUGGCACCCCCCACUUUAACCCCUUAAGGACCAAACUUCUGGAAUAAAAGGGAAUCAUGACAUGUCACACGUCAUGUGUCCUUAAGGGGUUAAAAUUUAAAAAUAAACACCUACAAUUCUUUAACAUAUGUAGCACUUAGAGUUUGUACGUUUUAAUGUAAGCAUGUUUUUGUACGGAAAAUAUGUGAUUGAAUAUAGGGGUGUGUUUGUAUGUAGUGUUGGUAGAUGAUGCAAGCAUGCAUUUGUGUGUAGUGUUGGCAAGAUGCAGUGCCGUGAUUAUAUAUAAUGGUGAUGUUUUAAUACAGAGGUGUGUUUGUAGUGUUGUUUGCAUGCAGUGGUGUGAUUGUGUGUAGUGCUGUCAAGAUGCUGAGAUGUAUUUACAUAUACACAAACACAUAUAGACACACAGAGCUACACAGACACAUCGUCACAUCCCAGCUGCCAACUCACUGCAUGUCGCACACAAACUCCUAUGUAAUCCAUAAAAAAAAUGUUAAAUCUCACUGCCUUCCAGUUUAUAUUGGUCCUUGUGUGAAAGUGUGUUUGUGACAGCGUAUGUACGUGUGAAUGCAUGUGUAAUCUGUGAAUGUGAGCCUGUGUGUAAUGUGUCUAUGUGACAGUGUGGGAACAGUUGUAUGUGCCUGAGUGGGGCACAGUAGAUUGGGCCUGGGACAGUGUGUGAUAUUGCAUGGAAGAAUGUGACAUGGAGUUUUAUGUAUGUGGGUAUUACUAGCAGGAGAAGGGUAUAUGACAGAGUGGGACAGCUUGUGCAAUUGCAUACAGCAGGGUGAGUGUUACAUGGCAGACCGGGUAUUAUGUCAAGGCAGGGGUGGAUGUCAGGUUGCAUAUUAUGACAGGGAGGGUGAUGUCACUGGGUGAAUUUACAAAUAUGGGAAAAGGACAGGACAGAAAAUAGGUCUCAUAAAGGGAAAAAUCCAGCUGACAGAGCCUAACCCUAAUGAUAGAUACAAAGAAUGUUCAAAGAGAAAGGAACCAAGGGGUGUUGGAUUACCCUUGAAAAUGCAAGCAUAGCAUUAAAGAUUAAGGGAUCCCAAAGUGCCACCUCAUGAAAUUCUGUGUACAACACAAACGGUGAUAUAUAAAAGACAUAACCCUUACUUAUAUCCAAUGCUAAUGUAUGGGAAAAUCAUUAAUGCUAGGAUAAGUAAGGUGUGGUGUGUCUACUAAAUGUCUCUAAAAGAGGGGCAGAUACAAUGUUGAAGGAUGAUAGUAAUUAAAAUUCACAAAUGAGGUAACAUAUUUAUAAAUGAUCUUGAAAUAGGCAUUGAAAGCCAUGUAUCAGUGUUUGCAGAUGACACAAAACUUUGUAAAGUAAUAAAAUGUGAGCAGGAUAUUGCUUUGUUGCAGAGAGAUUUGGAUAGAUU